GACAGAGUUGGCGAGCGUUGUUCGGAAUUACUGGGCUUAAAGGGCGAGUAGGUGGUGGAGCAAGUCUGAGGUGGAAUCCUACGGCUUAACCGUAGAACUGCCUUGGAAACUGUUUUACUUGAGUCAGUGAGGGGAGGGCGGAAUUCCUGGUGUAGCGGUGAAAUGCGUAGAUAUCAGGAGGAAGGCCUGUGGCGAAAGUGGCCCUCUGGCACUGUACUGACGCUGAGGCGCGAAAGCGUGGGGAGCAAACAGG
rnacentral:rRNA from 1 species